GCUGGCGGCGUGCCUAACACAUGCAAGUCGAACGAGAAAGGGGAGCAAUCCCUGAGUAAAGUGGCGACCGGGUGAGUAACACGUGACUAACCUACCCUCGUGUGUGGAAUAACAUCGGGAAACCGACGCUAAUACCGCAUAAUAUCGGCGCUUUUUAAUAAGUGCCGAUCAAAGGAGCAAUCCGCUUGAGGAGGGGGUCGCGGCUGAUUAGCUAGUUGGCGGGGUAACGGCCCACCAUGGCGAAGAUCGGUAGCCGGCCUGAGAGGGCGCACGGCCACACUGGAACUGAAACACGGUCCAGACUCCUACGGGAGGCAGCAGUGGGGAAUUUUGCGCAAUGGGGGAAACCCUGACGCAGCAACGCCGCGUGGAGGAUGAAGCCCCUUGGGGCGUAAACUCCUUUCGACCAAGACGAUAAUGACGGUACUGGUGGAAGAAGCACCGGCUAACUCUGUGCCAGCAGCCGCGGUAAUACAGAGGGUGCAAGCGUUGUUCGGAAUUAUUGGGCGUAAAGGGCGCGUANGCGGCGCGACAAGUCACCUGUGAAAUCCCCGGGCUUAACUCGGGGCCUGCAGGCGAAACUGUCGUGCUGGA
rnacentral:rRNA from 1 species